rnacentral:rRNA from 1 species
UACGGGGGGAGCAAACGUUGUUCGGAAUCACUGGGCGUAAAGGGCGCGUAGGCGGUCUGGUAAGCGUGUGGUGAAAGCCCGGGGCUCAACCCCGGGUCGGCCGUGCGAACUGCUGGACUGGAGCAGAUCAGAGGCAGGCGGAAUUCCGGGUGUAGCGGUGGAAUGCGUAGAGAUCCGGAAGAACACCGGUGGCGAAGGCGGCCUGCUGGGAUCUUGCUGACGCUGAGGCGCGACAGCGUGGGGAGCAAACAGG